rnacentral:rRNA from 1 species
UCGAGGAUCUUCGUCAAUGGGCGAAAGCCUGAACGAGCGACGCCGCGUGUGCGAUGAAGGCCUUCGGGUUGUAAAGCACGAAAGUGGGGAUAAAGGGAAACUUGAUUGAUCCACAGUAAGCACGGGCUAAGUUCGUGCCAGCAGCCGCGGUAAGACGAACCGUGCGAACGUUGUUCGGAAUCACUGGGCUUAAAGGGCGCGUAGGCGGGCGGUCAAGUCUGUGGUGAAAUCCAACAGCUCAACUGUUGAACUGUCACGGAUACUGACUGUCUCGAGGAAGGUAGGGGCGUGCGGAACAAAUGGUGGAGCGGUGAAAUGCAUUGAUAUCAUUUGGAACUCCGGUGGCGAAGGCGGCACGCUGGACCUUUUCUGACGCUGAGGCGCGAAAGCCAGGGGAGCAAACGGGAUUAGAUACCCCUGUAGUCC